rnacentral:sRNA from 1 species
AUUAUUACUGUUUACUAGCAGCUCGGAGGGAAGAUUGGAGGAGGGCAAGACAGAGAAGACGGCCGCCACUCGAUUCCCCUAGCCCGUCCCCAGUGACGGGGAGCUCAGCAGAGUGCGAGUGUCAAGUAAAUAUUUGGAAAGCCCUAGUGGAGCUCGAUGAUAGAGGAGAGCCUGUGGACUCUGUUUGGAAACAAGAUCAAGUCUGUGGCUAAGAGAGCAUUCUCGGGGCUGGAAGGCCUGGAGCACCUGAACCUUGGAGGGAAUGCGAUCAGAUCUGUCCAGUUUGAUGCCUUUGUGAAGAUGAAGAAUCUUAAAGAGCUCCAUAUCAGCAGCGACAGCUUCCUGUGUGACUGCCAGCUGAAGUGGCUGCCCCCGUGGCUAAUUGGCAGGAUGCUGCAGGCCUUUGUGACAGCCACCUGUGCCCACCCAGAAUCACUGAAGGGUCAGAGCAUUUUCUCUGUGUCACCAGAGAGUUUCGUGUGCGAUGACUUCCUGAAGCCACAGAUCAUCACCCAGCCAGAAACCAUCAUGGCUAUGGUGGGCAAGGACAUCCGGUUCACAUGCUCAGCAGCCAGCAGCAGCAGCUCCCCCAUGACCUUUGCCUGGAAGAAAGACAAUGAAGUCCUGACCAAUGCAGACAUGGAGAACUUUGUCCACGUCCACGCGCAGGACGGGGAAGUGAUGGAGUACACCACCAUCCUGCACCUCCGUCAGGUCACUUUCGGGCACGAGGGCCGCUACCAAUGUGUCAUCACCAACCACUUUGGCUCCACCUAUUCACAUAAGGCCAGGCUCACUGUGAAUGUGUUGCCAUCAUUCACCAAAACACCCCACGACAUAACCAUCCGGACCACCACCAUGGCCCGCCUCGAAUGUGCUGCCACAGGUCACCCAAACCCUCAGAUUGCCUGGCAGAAGGAUGGAGGCACGGAUUUCCCUGCCGCCCGUGAGCGACGCAUGCAUGUCAUGCCGGAUGACGACGUGUUUUUCAUCACUGAUGUGAAAAUAGAUGACGCAGGGGUUUACAGCUGUACUGCUCAGAACUCAGCCGGUUCCAUUUCAGCUAAUGCCACCCUGACUGUCCUAGAGACCCCAUCCUUGGUGGUGCCCUUGGAAGACCGUGUGGUAUCUGUGGGAGAAACAGUGGCCCUCCAAUGCAAAGCGACGGGGAACCCUCCUCCCCGCAUCACCUGGUUCAAGGGGGACCGCCCGCUGAGCCUCACUGAGCGGCACCACUUGACCCCUGACAACCAGCUCCUGGUGGUUCAGAACGUGGUGGCAGAGGAUGCGGGCCGAUAUACCUGUGAGAUGUCCAACACCCUGGGCACGGAGCGAGCUCACAGCCAGCUGAGCGUCCUGCCCGCAGCAGGCUGCAGGAAGGAUGGGACCACGGUAGGCAUCUUCACCAUUGCUGUCGUGAGCAGCAUCGUCCUGACGUCACUGGUCUGGGUGUGCAUCAUCUACCAGACCAGGAAGAAGAGUGAAGAGUACAGUGUCACCAACACAGAUGAAACCAUCGUGCCACCAGAUGUUCCAAGCUACCUCUCUUCUCAGGGGACCCUUUCUGACCGACAAGAAACCGUGGUCAGGACCGAGGGUGGCCCUCAGGCCAAUGGGCACAUUGAGAGCAAUGGUGUGUGUCCAAGAGAUGCAAGCCACUUUCCAGAGCCCGACACUCACAGUGUUGCCUGCAGGCAGCCAAAGCUCUGUGCUGGGUAUCACAAAGAGCCGUGGAAAGCGAUGGAGAAAGCUGAAGGGACACCUGGGCCACAUAAGAUGGAACACGGUGGCCGGGUCGUAUGUAGUGACUGCAACACCGAAGUGGACUGUUACUCCAGGGGACAAGCCUUCCACCCCCAGCCUGUGUCCAGAGACAGCGCACAGCCAAGUGCGCCAAAUGGCCCGGAGCCGGGUGGGAGUGACCAAGAGCAUUCUCCACAUCACCAGUGCAGCAGGACUGCCGCUGGGUCCUGCCCCGAGUGCCAAGGGUCGCUCUACCCCAGUAACCACGAUAGAAUGCUGACGGCUGUGAAGAAAAAGCCAAUGGCAUCUCUAGAUGGGAAAGGGGAUUCUUCCUGGACUUUAGCAAGGUUGUAUGACCCGGACUCCACAGAGCUACAGCCUGCAUCUUCAUUAACUUCAGGCAGUCCAGAGCACGCGGAAGCCCAGUACUUGCUUGUUUCCAAUGGCCACCUCCCCAAAGCAUGUGACGCCAGUCCCGAGUCCACGCCACUGACAGGACAGCUCCCUGGGAAACAGAGGGUGCCACUGCUGUUGGCACCAAAAAGCUAGGUUUUGUCUACCUCAGUUCUUGUCAUACCAAUCUCUAC